CCCCGCUGUGACAAGGAUAUGCUAAAAUUGGGAUGAAACGAGAUUAGCAUGGCUCCUGCACAAGGAUGACACACAAAUUCAUGAAGAGUAUGGCCUCUAG
rnacentral:snRNA from 1 species